GCGCCUGUAGCUCAGGUGGAUAGAGCGGCGGGCUUCGAACCCGCAGGCCGGGGGUUCAAAUCCCUCCAGGCGCG
rnacentral:tRNA from 1 species